rfam:TPA: Bos taurus chromosome 3, whole genome shotgun sequence.
UCCCUGGUAGCUCAGAAGUUAAAGCAUCUGCCUGGAAUGUGGGAGACCGGGGUUCAAUCCCUGGGUCGGGGAG